rnacentral:lncRNA from 1 species
UCAGCCUCCCAAAGUGCUGGGAUUAUAGGCGUGAGACACCGCACCCAGCCUUAACCUUCAUUUUGAAGGAUAUUUUUAAUUAUUAGAAUUCUAGAAUCAGCAUUUCAUUUUGUUUAGCUUUCCAAUCUUUAAAAGCAUCAGUAUAUUGUCUUUUGAUCUCCAUAGUUUCUGUUAAAAAGUUAGUCUUAAGUCUUAUGUUUUCUUUUAGUGUAAUCUGUCAUCCCCUCCUUUGACAGCUUUAAAGAUUUUCUCUUUGAUGUUGGUUUUCAAACACAGGUUUUUUUGUUUGUUUGUUUGCUCGUUUUUAAGCUACUUGGGGCUUACUAAGAUUCUUGGACCUAUAGGUUGAUAUGUAUCAUCAAUUGUGUAAAAUUCUCAGUAAGCAUCUCAUCAUGUUGCUUCUGAUCCAUUAUCUGUUUUCUCUUUAUAGAACUUCAGUAACACAAUGUUAAACGAUAUAUCUACAUUCCACAUACCUUUUCCACUCUUUUAUUUUCUCCAUUUUCUCCCUGUAUUUAAUUUGAAUAUUUUCGAUUGACUUGUCUUUAGAUUUCCUAAUCCUGUCUGCUGUGGUUUGAAUGUGUUCUACAAAGUUCAUGUGUUAAAAAUGUAAUCCCCAAUCCAACAGUGCUGAGAGAUAGACCUUUAAGAGGUGAUUAGGUCAUAAAGGCUCUGCCCUCAUAAAUGGAUUAAUGUCAUUAUCAUGGGAUUGAGUUUGAUUUGGCCUUCUCUCACUCUCUCUUGAGAUUUCUUGCCUUUCUGUCUUCCAUGACAGGAUGAUAAAGCAAGAAAGGCCUCAUCAGGUGCCAAGACCUUGAUAUUGGACUUCCCAGCCUCCAGAGCUGUGAGAAAUAAAUUUCUUUUCAUUAUAAAUUACCAAGUCUCGGCCAGGCACAGUGGCUCAUGCCUGUAAUCCCCGCACUUUCAGAGGCCAAGGUGGGCGGAUCACUUGAGGUCAGGAGUUGAAGACCAGCCGGGUCAACAUGGUGAAACCCUCUCUCUACAAAAAUACAAAAAUUAGCCAGGCAUGGCGGCAGGUAAUCCCAGCAACUCCAGAGGCUGAAGUGGGAGAAUCUCUUAAACCCAGGAGGCAGAAAUUGCCAUGAGCCGAGAUCACGCCACUGCCCUCCAGCCUGGGUGACAGGGCAAGACUCUGUCUCAAAAUAAAUAAAUAAAUAUUACCAAGUCUCAGGUAUUCUCAUGGA